GGCGGCUCGAGUGGUGGCCACUAUUACUGGGCUUAAAGGGUCCGUAGCUUGAUAUGCAAGUCUCUUGAGAAAUCCGCCGGCUUAACUGGCGGGCGUUCAGGGGAAACUGCAUUUCUAGGGACCGGGAGAGGUGAGAGGUACUGCCGGGGUAGGAGUGAAAUCCUGUAAUCCCGGUGGGACCACCUAUGGCGAAGGCAUCUCACCAGAACGGGUCCGACAGUGAGGGACGAAAGCUGGGGGAGCAAACC
rnacentral:rRNA from 1 species